UAAUGUGAAUUGCAGAAUUCAGUGAAUCAUCGAAUCUUUGAACGCACCUUGCGCUCCUUGGUAUUCCGAGGAGCAUGCCUGUUUGAGUGUCAUUAAAUUCUCAACCUUU
rnacentral:rRNA from 2 species